rnacentral:rRNA from 1 species
AUUGAACGCUGGCGGCAGGCUUAACACACGCAAGUCGAGCGGUAACAGGCCUUCGGGUGCUGACGAGCGGCGGACGGGUGAGGAAUGCAUAGGAAUCUGCCUAUUAGUGGGGGAUAACACGGGGAAACUCGUGCUAAUACCGCAUACGUCCUACGGGAGAAAGCGGGGGAUCGUAAGACCUCGCGCUAAUAGAUGAGCCUAUGCCGGAUUAGCUAGUUGGUAGGGUAAAGGCCUACCAAGGCGACGAUCCGUAGCUGGUCUGAGAGGAUGAUCAGCCACACUGGGACUGAGACACGGCCCAGACUCCUAUGGGAGGCAGCAGUGGGGAAUAUUGGACAAUGGGCGCAAGCCUGAUCCAGCCAUGCCGCGUGUGUGAAGAAGGCCUUCGGGUUGUAAAGCACUUUAAGUGGGGAGGAAGGUCAGUAAGUUAAUACCUUAUUGAAUUGACGCUACCCACAGAAUAAGCACCGGCUAACUCUGUGCCAGCCGCCGCCGUAA